rnacentral:rRNA from 1 species
GUGGGGAAUUUUGGACAAUGGGCGCAAGCCUGAUCCAGCAAUGCCGCGUGCAGGAUGAAGGCCUUCGGGUUGUAAACUGCUUUUGUACGGAACGAAAAGGUUCUCUCUAAUACAGGGGGCUGAUGACGGUACCGUAAGAAUAAGCACCGGCUAACUACGUGCCAGCAGCCGCGGUAAUACGUAGGGUGCAAGCGUUAAUCGGAAUUACUGGGCGUAAAGCGUGCGCAGGCGGUGAUGUAAGACAGAGGUGAAAUCCCCGGGAUCAACCUGGGAAUGGCGCUUGUGACUGCAAAGCUGGAGUGAGGCAGAGGGGGAUGGAAUGCCGCUGGUAGCAGUGAAAUGCGUAGAUAUGCGGAGGAACACCGAUGGCGAAGGCAAUCCCCUGGGCCUGCACUGACGCUCAUGCACGAAAGCGUGGGGAGCAAACAGGAUUAGAAACCCCAGUAGUCC